rnacentral:ncRNA from 1 species
UUUAAAGGCAAACCUGCUGAAAGGCAGAGACGCAAAGCUAGAAGGGGCUAAAGUCAGAAAGAUUAACCAGGUCAGCCAGUUGCCA